ensembl:ncRNA K07H8.16 ncRNA
CCGAGUGAAGAAUACAUGAAGCUCGUGUCCUUUUAUACAUACUCUUAAACUUCGACAAGAUGUCCAUCGCAGCAUGUUGCAAUUCUGAAAGUAGCUUAGAGACCAUGCGGAUUGAAGAGACUCAGCAUGCUUAUCAGUCAUUGA